CGGAAGUUUCUCGAAGGGGGCUCCUGGCCCCUCAGGCCCAGCGGCCUGGCAGAACGUUGUGAACGUUUAACUCACCCUUGAGGGGAGACGGUGGGGCCGGUACGCGGCGCGCUCAGUCCCGGGACCGGGAGUCGGGCCUGGUUCGAAUCCAGUUCUUACACCCUCGAGAGCCUCUGGGGAGGUUUCAUGUGGACAACGCUGCGUAGGCCGGACCACCGUGGCCCCCAGUCUGGAAGACUCGAGGGACCUCCGCACUCACUCACUGUUCUUCCACCAGCGCAGCGCUAGCCACAUUCAGGAGCUCCUGAUCCUCUGUGGCUUCUGUAUUGGACAGUGCAGAUCUGAAACAAAUUGGAUCAGUCACCCCCACCAACUUAAAAUCUUGCAGGAUCUCAGUUCCGCUACCAGGGAUUGGACCUGGGCCACAGCAGUGGAAGUGCCGAAUGCUAACCACUAGACCACCAGGGAACUCCCUAAUUGUGCUUUUUAUCUCUCAUCAUCCCUCAGUAGACUGAAAGCUGGUUGAGGACAGAGAUCUCACCUGUCUCACACUGAACUCUCAGUGUAUUGCCAGAGCUUAGCAUAGGAAGUCUUCAAUAAAUUUUUUUUAAAAGUGUAAAUCCAUAUAAAGGACUUAGCAUAGUACCUGGAAUGUGAAGAGUACUCCAUAAACACCAUAAACAUGAACUGUUAGUAGCGCGUAGUAAUUAGGAGAUAAGUCAUCAUUUUUCUUACGUAGUAUCUCAGGUGCACUCACACUCAAAAACAAGCAUAAGAAAUGCUAUGACAAAUAUGUUUUUACCCAUUACCCAGCUUAAGAAGUAAAACAUUAGCGAUGCAAUUGAAAGGUCUUAUAUACCCCUUCCUCAAACCUGUUCCUCUCCCCUUUUUUUCAGAUGUAACUACAAUCCUGGUUUUGGUGUUUAUUUUUCAGUGCAUGUUUGUAUAUCUUUAAUACGUGCCUUUAAACUAUGUAUAGUAUUGUAUGUCAUGUUCUGCAACUUUAUACAAAAGAGUCAACUAUAGCAGGCCUGAGACUGCUCUCCUUAGAAAGGCCUGUUUGCAAGGUUGGCCCUUGGCUGGUGUCUAGGAACUUGGAUUUCAGGAGGGUUCACACCAUUUCCUAAAUAAUACAAGGGGCUCAUGGUGCCUAAACUGUACAAACAAUGUGAUUUGUGUCGAACACCUGCUUUCCUUCUGGAGUCUGGAAGUUUGGUACUUGACCAGCUGCCCCCCCCCAGCCAAUACCCUGGGCACUGUAUCUCUAAGGAGGUUUCCUGGUGGACAGCAUUUCACACAUGUUGUCACAGCUCUGCUAUAGGAACUAAGCACGUCCUUUGUAACUCUGCUGGGAGAGGACUCUUGGAAGCUUGUGCCUGGUUUCCUCCAGACUUCGCUCCAUGCACCUUUUCCCUUGGCUGAUUUUGCUUUGUAUCCUUUCACUGUAAGAAAUCAUACCCUGGGGAAUUCCCUGGUGGUCCAGUGGUUAGGUCUCUGAGCUUCCACUUCAGGGGGCACAGGUUCAAUCCCUGGUCAGGGAACUAAGAUCCCACGUGCUGCAUGGUGUGGCCAAAAAAAAAAAAAACAAAAGCAAAAAACCAAACCAAACCCAAACAACAACAAAAAAGAAAUCGUACCCUGAGUAGGCUAUAUGCUAAAUCCUGUGAAUCAUCCUAGUGAGUCAGGGAUGAUCUUGGGGACCCCCAACACAGUAUCAUACCACAUAUAUCCUGACAGGGCUGGAACUAGGAUGAGGAAAGCAAGGGCACAACAUUUAAGGAGACACUCACCCUCCAAGUCACACAAGUGCCAACCUGUACCUGCAUGACUGAGCGUGAGUGCCUCCUAAAAUUUUCAUUCUAGACACCUAAGUUGCUUCACUCUGGUCCCAUCCCUACCUUCAUUAAAAAAAAUUAAGUAAUUAAUUGUGGCUGCCUUGGGUCUUUGUUGCUGCGCACAGGCUUUUUCUCUAGUUGUGGCAAGUGGGGGCUACUAUUCGUUGCGGUGUGUGGGCUUCUCACUGCGGUGGCUUCUCUUGUGGAGCACGGGCUCUAAGGUGCGCGGGCUUCAGUAGUUGUGACUUGCGGGCUCUAGAGCGCAGGCUUGGUAGUUGUGGCACACGGCCUUAGUUGCUCUGUGGCAUGUGGGAUCUUCCCGAACCAGGGCUCGAACCUGUGUCCCCUGCAUUGGCAGGCGGAUUCUUAACCACUGUGCCAUCAGGGAAGCCCCGAACAUAAUGCUUUUGAGAGGUAUAUAUGUGACACGUGUAUAGCUCUAGUCGUUUAUUUUCACUGGUGUAUGGCUGUGCUGUCUGAUGCAGUAACCAUUAGCCACAUGUGGCUAUUUAUAUUUCAGUUAAUCAAAAUUAAAUGAAAAAAAUCAAUUCCUCAGUCACUUAGCCACAUUUCAUAUGGUUAGUAGACACCUGUGGCUAGUGGCUACUGCAUUAGACAGCUUAGAUAAAGAAUACUUCUGUGAUCACAGAAAGUUUUGUUGGACAGUGUUUACUUAUCCAUCUACCUCUUGCUUGGUAUUUAGCUUGUUUCCGGUUUUCUGCUCUUACAAACAGUGCUGUAAUGUUUAUUGUUGUGCGUGACUCUUUGUGUACACGUGCAGGAGUUUCCCUAGGCUACAUACCUAGGAGUUGAAUUGCUGGGUUUGGGGGACAGUCACCUUUACUAGAUAUUGCCAGUUUGUUCUUCAAAAUGAUUGUUGCAGUUCUCACUCCCACCAGCAUUGUUGCUAUUGCUCAGUGUCCUUAUCCAUACUUGCUUUUGUCAGACUCUUACAUGUUUGUCUUUAUGAUGGGUGUGAAUUAUUGGUUUCAGUUUGCAUUACCAUGAUUAAUAGUGAGAUUGAGCUUUUUUCAUGUUUAUUUACCAUUUGCCUUUCAUGAAUUGCCUGUUCAUAUCUUUGCCCAUUUUCCUGCUGGAUUGUCUUCAUCUUACUGAGUGCAGGAGUUCUUACAUCUGCGGCAUGCCUUUUCAUUUGUAUGGUGUCUUCUCAUGUUCAGAAUUUAUUAUUAUUAUCAUCAUCAUUAUUUUAAUGUCAUCAGAAUUAUGAAUCUACUUAUAGUUUGUGUUUUUUUGUGUCUUGCUUAAGAAAUCUUACACUGUGAUCAGUAAGAUAUCCUACUGUAUUUUUUUCUGGAAGGUCUACUUGUCAUAUUUAGCUUAAAAAAAAACAAUCUGGAAUUUAUUUUUGUUUAUGAUGUGAGGUAGGUUUAAUUUUUUUCAUUUGGUUAACCACGUGUCCCAGCUCCAUUUAUUGAGUAGUCCAGUGGUUCUCAAAAUGUGAUCCCCUGGGGAUCCCCAAGAACCUUUUAAGGAAUCCAUGAGGUAAACUAUUUUCAUAAUAAGUCUAAGGCAUUAUUUGCCCUUCUCAUUUGUGCUGUGUUGUAUGUGCACUGUUGGUACAAAAACAAUGGGUAGAACUUCUGGCCCCUUAGCAGGAAACAGUGCAGUGUCACCAUAUUGUGGUAGUGGUUGUCAUUGUAUUCCUCACCACCACACACAUGCUCAAUGUUAAAACAGUUUCACUUAAGAAUGUCCUUGAAGAAGCAGUGAAAGUAGUAAUUGUGUUAAAGCUUAGCCCUACAGCAGGUCUUUCUAAUAUUCUGGGUCGUGAAAUGGGAUGCUUGCAUAGAGCACUUCUAUUGCAUGCUGGAGAAUGAUGGUAGUUGAGGUAAUGUACAGUUGUUUGAGUGGAGGUGGAACUGCUGACUUUUUUCAUGAACACAAUUUUUACUUGAAUAAUUGCUAGUUAUUAUUCAGAUUAGAAUAUAUGCCAUGUAUUUUCUCAGAAACAAAUGCAGUGAGUGGUCACUUGGAGGAAAAUUAACAGUGUGUUGCCAAUGAUAAUAUUUGAGCUUUUAAGCAAAACUUAGACAUUUAGGAAACUUUUAUUCACCACCAUGAGCCUGACAACUUUUCAAUAUUUAAAGGUUUUCCUGAUGAGAUCAGUGGUGAUAUUAUUAACAGAUAUAUUUUUAAAAUACUGUAGAGUGAAAUGUAAUAACUCAGCAUAUCAGUAUUUUCCUAAAGACCAAUGCAUGAUGUUACAAAAUCAGUCAUAAAAGAUUAAUUAAAAUUUGUAAGAUAGACCAAUGGGUUUCAAUGUAACAGAGUAUGAAAAGUUUAUUGAUACAGUUUCAUAUUCAACAUUGUAACUAACUUUAAUACACCACCACUUGUUGAGUUUUGGUAUAGUAACAAAGUAAAAUAUCCCCAAUUAGCUGAAAAGGCUAUGACACUCCUCCCUUUUCCAACUAUGUAUCUUUGUGAGGCUGGCUUUUCUUCACAUACUUCAACCAAAACAGCAUAUUGCAACAGAUUAAUUUCAGAAGCCUGAUGUGAGAAUACAGCUGUCUUUCAUUACACCAGACAGUAUGAGUUCUACAAAAAUGUAAAACAACGCCAUUCGUUGCACUACUUUGUUUUUAAAAUAUGCAUAUAGUUAUUUUUUAAUAAAAUAGGUUAUUUAACAUUUAAUAGAUUUAUUAACCAAUUUAAUUUAGUUAAGUAUUUAAAAAUUUUGCUCAGUUUUAAUUUCCAAUUCAGUAAAUAUAAACAGAUAUAAUCUCUGUCCCCAUAAACAACAGCUCAUUAGGGUCCCCAUUAAUUUUUUUAAAAAAGAUUUAAUUUUUUUUAGAGCAGUUUUAGGUUCAUGACAUAGAUUUCUCAUAUACCCCUCCCCCUCCCACAUGCAUAGUAUCCCCCAUCAUUAACAUCCACCACCAAAGUGGUGAAUUUGUGUACAAUUGAUGAACCUAUAUUGACACAUCAUUAUCACCUAAAAUCCACAGCUUAUGUUAAGGUUCAUUCUUGGUGUACAUUCUAUGGGUUUGGAUAAAUGUAUGACAUAUAUUCAUCAUUACAGUAUCAUACAGAGUAUUUUCACAGCCCUAAAAAUCCUCUGUGCUCCUCCCAGUCAUCCCCCUCCCUAUCCUCAUUAAGUUUUAAAAGGGUAAAGGGAUCUCAAGGUCAAAAAAUAUAAGAUCCUCUGGAUUAAUCCAUCCUUUUCCUAGUGAUUUGUAAUCUCUGCCUAGAGCAAGUUUCCAGCUAGUCACAGGUCUCUUCCAUUGGACUUUUUGUCUCUUCCUGUGCCAAAUACCACAUUGACUUAAAUAUUACCACACUAUAACCAGUCUUGGUAAGGCUAGUUCCCCACCUUGUUCUUUCUUCUUCCAUUUGUGCUGGUUAUUCUUGGCCUUUGUUCUUCCAUAGAAAGUGGGACACACAAAUACUUUUUCCUAUUACAAAAAUAAUAUAUAUUAAUGCAAACAAUUUUUAAAAUACAGAGUUGCGAGAAAGUUAAAAUUACCCUGUUAAUAUUCUGGUGUAUAGCUUUAUAUUCUGCAUAUAUUUUAUUAUUAUUUUUUAAAAGCAAUUAAAAUUUUUUUUUCUUUUUUAAAAACAUUUAUUUUUUGGCUGCGUUGGGUUUUCGUUGCUGCAUGCUGGCUUUCUCUAGUUGCAGAGAGAUGGUGUGCGAGCUUCUCAUUGCGGCGGGUUCUCUUGUUGCAGAGCAGGGGCUCUAGGCAUGCGGACUUCAGUAGUUGUGGCACGUGGGCUCAGUAGUUGUGGCACGCAGGCUCUAGAGUGCAGGCUCAGUAGUUGUGGCGCACAGGCUUAGUCGCUCCGCAGCAUGUGGGAUCUUCCUGCACCAGGGCUCGAACCCGUGUCCCUGCAUUGGCGGGCAGAUUCUUAACCACUGCGCCACCAGGGAAGUCCCUGCAUAUAUUUUAUAUUUAUACGCACAUAUACACAUACACACAUACACUUGUAUAUAUACACAGUUUCA